GACGAACGCUGGCGGCGUGCUUAAUACAUGCAAGUCAACUUGACUUUAGAUAGCAAUAUCGAAAAGUAGGGUGGCGCACGGGUGCGUAACGCGUAGGUAAUCUGCCCUGAGGUCUGACAUAACCCGUCGAAAGGCGGGCUAACAUCAGAUGAUAUAUAAUCACGACAUCGUGGAAAUAUCAAAUCUUCGGAGCCUUGGGAUGAGCCUGCGUCUGAUUAGGUAGUUGGCGGAGUAAUAGCCCACCAAGCCUACGAUCAGUAGCUGGUCUGAGAGGAUGAUCAGCCACACUGGAACUGAGACACGGUCCAGACUCCUACGGGAGGCAGCAGUAAGGAAUAUUGCUCAAUGGGGGAAACCCUGAAGCAGCAACGCCGCGUGAAGGAUGAAAUACUUUUGUAUGUAAACUUCUGUAAGAUGGGAAAAAUAUUCUCCUCGGGAGAAUUGAUUGUACCAUCAGAGUAAGCCCCGGCUAACUACGUGCCAGCAG
rnacentral:rRNA from 1 species